rnacentral:lncRNA from 1 species
CCGGCGACCGCGGCAUGGCAGCAACGCCGCCCACCGUCGGUGACAAGAAGUUGAACUGCAAGCUGAUGUUGGUGGUACAUACACAUCUGUAAUCCCAGAUACUUCGAGAGCUAAGAUGGGAGGAUUCUCAGUUCAGUGACAACACAGUUUUUCACCUCAAUUUUUCAAGAAGAAAAGAUGGCGUGUUAUUUGUCCUAAUUUGUGAUUUAUAUCAUAAGUUCCUUGUGUAGCUCAGAAAAAAAAUUCUUCUGCACUUCAAUAUUUGAAAAGCCUCCUUUAAGUGGCUGCGGGUGUGGCUGAUGGCGAUGGCGAGGAUGAGCUGUAAGCAUGAGGCCCUGGCGGAGGUCCCCACCAAGACAAAAUCAGAAACUUACAAAAGUCCUAGGGAAACUGGGACAGUUGGCCACCCUAGCCCUGGAUCCAGCUGUCAAACCAGAAAGAAGUUAAGACGUCCAUGAAAGAGGACAAAGCUAUCCAGCAGUGUCUCUCUGUUUAGCAAGAAGCUGUCUGCUAAUUCAUAAUCCUCCUGCCUCAGUCUAGGAUUACAGAAGCACACCACCGUGCCCAGGACUCAGGUGAUCUUUUGAGGGUCAUGCACAAGAUUGUCACCUGCCCAGGGUUCACUCCCUGCCUCUAAGUUAAAGCCCUGAUUUUUCCAAAUGGAGAGAGCAUGUUCUUUUUGGUACAUAA